rnacentral:rRNA from 1 species
UUAAGCGACUAAGCGUACACGGUGGAUGCCCUGGCAGUCAGAGGCGAUGAAGGACGUGCUAAUCUGCGAUAAGCGUCGGUAAGGUGAUAUGAACCGUUAUAACCGGCGAUUUCCGAAUGGGGAAACCCAGUGUGUUUCGACACACUAUCAUUAACUGAAUCCAUAGGUUAAUGAGGCGAACCGGGGGAACUGAAACAUCUAAGUACCCCGAGGAAAAGAAAUCAACCGAGAUUCCCCCAGUAGCGGCGAGCGAACGGGGAGCAGCCCAGAGCCUGAAUCAGUGUGUGUGUUAGUGGAAGCGUCUGGAAAGGCGCGCGAUACAGGGUGACAGCCCCGUACACAAAAAUGCACAUGCUGUGAGCUCGAUGAGUAGGGCGGGACACGUGGUAUCCUGUCUGAAUAUGGGGGGACCAUCCUCCAAGGCUAAAUACUCCUGACUGACCGAUAGUGAACCAGUACCGUGAGGGAAAGGCGAAAAGAACCCCGGCGAGGGGAGUGAAAAAGAACCUGAAACCGUGUACGUACAAGCAGUGGGAGCACGCUUAGGCGUGUGACUGCGUACCUUUUGUAUAAUGGGUCAGCGACUUAUAUUCUGUAGCAAGGUUAACCGAAUAGGGGAGCCGAAGGGAAACCGAGUCUUAACUGGGCGUUAAGUUGCAGGGUAUAGACCCGAAACCCGGUGAUCUAGCCAUGGGCAGGUUGAAGGUUGGGUAACACUAACUGGAGGACCGAACCGACUAAUGUUGAAAAAUUAGCGGAUGACUUGUGGCUGGGGGUGAAAGGCCAAUCAAACCGGGAGAUAGCUGGUUCUCCCCGAAAGCUAUUUAGGUAGCGCCUCGUGAAUUCAUCUCCGGGGGUAGAGCACUGUUUCGGCAAGGGGGUCAUCCCGACUUACCAACCCGAUGCAAACUGCGAAUACCGGAGAAUGUUAUCACGGGAGACACACGGCGGGUGCUAACGUCCGUCGUGAAGAGGGAAACAACCCAGACCGCCAGCUAAGGUCCCAAAGUCAUGGUUAAGUGGGAAACGAUGUGGGAAGGCCCAGACAGCCAGGAUGUUGGCUUAGAAGCAGCCAUCAUUUAAAGAAAGCGUAAUAGCUCACUGGUCGAGUCGGCCUGCGCGGAAGAUGUAACGGGGCUAAACCAUGCACCGAAGCUGCGGCAGCGACACUAUGUGUUGUUGGGUAGGGGAGCGUUCUGUAAGCCUGUGAAGGUGUGCUGUGAGGCAUGCUGGAGGUAUCAGAAGUGCGAAUGCUGACAUAAGUAACGAUAAAGCGGGUGAAAAGCCCGCUCGCCGGAAGACCAAGGGUUCCUGUCCAACGUUAAUCGGGGCAGGGUGAGUCGACCCCUAAGGCGAGGCCGAAAGGCGUAGUCGAUGGGAAACAGGUUAAUAUUCCUGUACUUGGUGUUACUGCGAAGGGGGGACGGAGAAGGCUAUGUUGGCCGGGCGACGGUUGUCCCGGUUUAAGCGUGUAGGCUGGUUUUCCAGGCAAAUCCGGAAAAUCAAGGCUGAGGCGUGAUGACGAGGCACUACGGUGCUGAAGCAACAAAUGCCCUGCUUCCAGGAAAAGCCUCUAAGCAUCAGGUAACAUCAAAUCGUACCCCAAACCGACACAGGUGGUCAGGUAGAGAAUACCAAGGCGCUUGAGAGAACUCGGGUGAAGGAACUAGGCAAAAUGGUGCCGUAACUUCGGGAGAAGGCACGCUGAUAUGUAGGUGAAGCGACUUGCUCGUGGAGCUGAAAUCAGUCGAAGAUACCAGCUGGCUGCAACUGUUUAUUAAAAACACAGCACUGUGCAAACACGAAAGUGGACGUAUACGGUGUGACGCCUGCCCGGUGCCGGAAGGUUAAUUGAUGGGGUCAGCGCAAGCGAAGCUCUUGAUCGAAGCCCCGGUAAACGGCGGCCGUAACUAUAACGGUCCUAAGGUAGCGAAAUUCCUUGUCGGGUAAGUUCCGACCUGCACGAAUGGCGUAAUGAUGGCCAGGCUGUCUCCACCCGAGACUCAGUGAAAUUGAACUCGCUGUGAAGAUGCAGUGUAUCCGCGGCAAGACGGAAAGACCCCGUGAACCUUUACUAUAGCUUGACACUGAACAUUGAGCCUUGAUGUGUAGGAUAGGUGGGAGGCUUUGAAGUGUGGACGCCAGUCUGCAUGGAGCCGACCUUGAAAUACCACCCUUUAAUGUUUGAUGUUCUAACGUGGACCCGUGAUCCGGGUUGCGGACAGUGUCUGGUGGGUAGUUUGACUGGGGCGGUCUCCUCCUAAAGAGUAACGGAGGAGCACGAAGGUUGGCUAAUCCUGGUCGGACAUCAGGAGGUUAGUGCAAUGGCAUAAGCCAGCUUGACUGCGAGCGUGACGGCGCGAGCAGGUGCGAAAGCAGGUCAUAGUGAUCCGGUGGUUCUGAAUGGAAGGGCCAUCGCUCAACGGAUAAAAGGUACUCCGGGGAUAACAGGCUGAUACCGCCCAAGAGUUCAUAUCGACGGCGGUGUUUGGCACCUCGAUGUCGGCUCAUCACAUCCUGGGGCUGAAGUAGGUCCCAAGGGUAUGGCUGUUCGCCAUUUAAAGUGGUACGCGAGCUGGGUUUAGAACGUCGUGAGACAGUUCGGUCCCUAUCUGCCGUGGGCGCUGGAGAACUGAGGGGGGCUGCUCCUAGUACGAGAGGACCGGAGUGGACGCAUCACUGGUGUUCGGGUUGUCAUGCCAAUGGCACUGCCCGGUAGCUAAAUGCGGAAGAGAUAAGUGCUGAAAGCAUCUAAGCACGAAACUUGCCCCGAGAUGAGUUCUCCCUGACUCCUUGAGAGUCCUGAAGGAACGUUGAAGACGACGACGUUGAUAGGCCGGGUGUGUAAGCGCAGCGAUGCGUUGAGCUAACCGGUACUAAUGAACCGUGAGGCUUAACCUU